rnacentral:rRNA from 1 species
UUGAACGCUGGCGGCAUGCCUUACACAUGCAAGUCGAACGGUAACGCGGUGCAACCUGGCGACGAGUGGCGAACGGGUGAGUAAUACAUCGGAACGUACCUGGUAGUGGGGGAUAGCCCGGCGAAAGCCGGAUUAAUACCGCAUACGACCUGAGGGUGAAAGCGGGGGACCUGAGAGGGCCUCGCGCUAUUGGAGCGGCCGAUGGCAGAUUAGCUAGUUGGUGGGGUAAAGGCCCACCAAGGCGACGAUCUGUAGCUGGUCUGAGAGGACGACCAGCCACACUGGGACUGAGACACGGCCCAGACUCCUACGGGAGGCAGCAGUGGGGAAUUUUGGACAAUGGGCGCAAGCCUGAUCCAGCCAUGCCGCGUGCGGGAAGAAGGCCUUCGGGUUGUAAACCGCUUUUGUCGGGGAAGAAACGGCUCUGGUUAAUACCUGGGGCUAAUGACGGUACCUGAAGAAUAAGCACCGGCUAACUACGU